rnacentral:lncRNA from 1 species
AUGGAGCUUAGAGGUAAAAUCAAGGAAAACAAUGCAUGUUCCUAUAGAGAGCGCCUCAUGGAAACAAGGGAUACUUCUUUAGUCACAUGGGAUUACAUUUUCACCUGGAAGAACCAUUUUUUUCCUCUCUGUCUGUUUCAGGAGGAAGCCACGAGCUUUUUUAUUCACAAAAAGAGAGAGGAGGCAGAAGUGACUUCAGAGUGCACAUGGAGAGGACAGAGACAAGGACCCAGGACGUACAACUGGACGACAGUCAGCUGACAAAGAUGUCCUUGGACUAUGAUCCUCUGGAUCAGUUGUGAAAAGCCUUUGAUAACACUCUCCAAAUCUCUACAUUUGUAAUGCACUGGAAUUCCUUUGUGAAAGGGGUUAUAUUUUGAAUAAAGUUUACCCAGAGGUCA